rnacentral:lncRNA from 1 species
UUCGGCAUUUAUCAUCUCUGCUUUAAUUUUGAAAAUAAAAUUUAAAACACACAUAUUUCUUUUAUCUUCAAUUAUUUACGUGUGGUAUGUGGGUAUGUGCACCUGCAGGCCAGUGCCCGGAAGUCAGAAGCACAGGAUCCUCUGGAGCUGGCCUUGUAGGUGGUGGUGAUGCUGCUGCUGAAGGCACUGAGAACUGAACUCAGGUCCUGUGGAAGAACAGCAAGUGCUCCUAACUUAGGCGCCAUUUGUCCAGCCCUCCUCACAGCAUUUUUCCUCUUAGCUGGACUUUCUUUUAGGUGGCACAUGCCUUUAACCUCAGCACUCUGGAGGCAGAGGCAAGUGGAUCUCUGAGUUCGAGGCCAGGCUGGUCUGCAGAGGGAGUAGUUCCUGGACUCCCUUUGUUCCCUUUGUAGCCAGGGCUUCGCAGAGAAACCUUGUCUCUCAGGGACACAAAAGUUACUUUUACAUUUUUUCCUGUGUGUGUGUGUGUGUGUGUGUGUGUGUAGAGAGAGAGAGAGAGAGAGAGAGAACAGACCAUAGAGUGUUUGUGGAAGUCAGAGAACAACUUGUAGGGUUGAUCUCUCAUUCCAUUGUUCCAUCACAUGAUCCCCCUUGGGAUCAAACUCAGGUCCUCAAGCACUUUUCCAGCUGAGACAUCUUACUGGCUUAAAUGCUGUGUCAAAUAAAAUUUUAAUUUAAAAACCAAUGCACCAAUAUCCUGACCUUAUAUUCCCCCCCCCUUGUUGAGUCACAUGGGCUGGCUUCACUGGUCCCAGGAACAACUCCAGCCCCAGGAGCAGCUCCUCCAUCAGUUUUGCACAAAAAGCCACCAAGCUGCAACUUCUAAGACUUUACUGUUUGCCUGUGUCAUUCCUUUCCAUAGGCCUUCACAGUAAGGCAUACACGAUCUCAGAAUCUGAGCUCAACUUUCUCUCUCAGAGUCUGUUUCUUUAGGUCUUGCCUGGGUCUUAGAGGUGUUCUCGAACCCUACUCGAAGCCCUUGUGUCCUGCCUUAUACAGAUGCUGAGAGCAGGCGCUUAGAUUCAGAGCGUGUUACACAUUCCAGGUCAAAUUUCAUCUGGAAAAAUGAGUUCUGUGCUUAAAAACAAACACACUGAACAUGAGCUGUUUUGUUUGUUUGCUUUUUUUUUUAAAGAUUUAUUCAUUUAUUAUAUAUAAGUACACUGUAGCUGUCUUCAGACACACCAUUAGAGGGAAUCGGAUCUCUUUACAGAUGGUUGUGAGCCACCAUGUGGUUGCUGGGAAUUGAACUCAUGACCUCUGGAAGAGCAGUCGGGUGCUCUUAACCACUGAGCCAUCUCUCCAGCCCUGUUUGCUUUUUUUGAGUCAGGGUCUCACUAUGUGGAUCUGGAAUUUACUAUGUAACUCACAGAGAUCCUCCUGCCUCUGUCUUCCUGGGAUCAAAGGCGUGGACCACCACGUCCAGCUGGAGACGAGCCCCUGUAGUUGUUUGUGGUACUGGUGAUUACAUUUAGGGUCUUGCACCUGCCACUGAUUCCAUCCAUAACCCAGUUGAAUUUUAUCUUGAUCAUUUUUGUAAAAGAUUGUGUGUGCAUGUGUGUGUGUAUGUACAAGAAUGUACAGCCUCUCUACCCCUGCCACUUGCCAUUUCUUCACAUGGUGUUAGUGCCUGAAACAUCCCUUGAGGAACUUCUCCCUCUGCUCCCCCUUCCAGCUCACUGGGUUCUAGUUGCUCUCUAGGAGGGCACAAGGCACUCAGGUGUGACCAGCACACAUGAUUCUCUUAGCCAAAGUGGUUGGUUCAGGUCUAGUCAAUCCUCUGGCUGGCCUCAUCGAUUUUUUCCCCUUUUUUUGGGGGGGGGGGCGCUUGAAUUGAAUGAUCUCAAAUCCCAGACAUGUUCAGAAGCCUCACUCAGUUCUUCUUCUUCUUCUUCUUCUUCUUCUUCUUCUUCUUCUUC